rnacentral:rRNA from 1 species
GAUGAACGCUGGCGGCGUGCCUAAUACAUGCAAGUCGAGCGAACAGACGAGGAGCUUGCUCCUCUGACGUUAGCGGCGGACGGGUGAGUAACACGUGGAUAACCUACCUAUAAGACUGGGAUAACUUCGGGAAACCGGAGCUAAUACCGGAUAAUAUAUUGAACCGCAUGGUUCAAUAGUGAAAGACGGUUUUGCUGUCACUUAUAGAUGGAUCCGCGCCGCAUUAGCUAGUUGGUAAGGUAACGGCUUACCAAGGCAACGAUGCGUAGCCGACCUGAGAGGGUGAACCGCCACAACGGGAACUGAGCCCGGGUCCAAAUCCUAAGGGGGGGCAGAGUGGGGGAAUCUGCCGAAAGGGGGGAAAGCCGGCCGGGGCAACGCCGGGGGGUUGAAGAGGGUCUCGGGUUCGAAAACCCUUUUUUUUAGGGAAAAAAAAAGGGGUAAGUAACUAUGCCGUUCUUGAGGGUACCAAAUCAGAAGGCCGGGGUAAAUUAGGG